CGCACUCCCAACUUGGAGAAGACGCACGUCAAACUGUCUGUCGAAGCGCGCACCAGUGGAGAAGACUCCUGCAAAUGCGCGUUCCCGGUCUAUGCGCGUGCCGUACACCAACCCCAGGCCAGUGCACUUCCCGAGCCAGAUUGAUUUAACAAACGUCCGGGGACAAUAAGGCCUAAGACAUCUUCAGUUAUGGCUGUUCUCUCUGCGAGGAGAUCCACAGGGCUCUUUCUUUGGAUUUUGGUGUUUCUCCUGCUCAUCUUCAUUGAGAUGUUAACCUCUCUGGUGCUCUUUGGUGGUGUGUUCAUCCUCUCCAGCGAAGCCCUCAUCAGCCCCUUUCACUUUUGUCUAACACGUCAACAUGGUGAACUGUCCUGCAACUACAGCAGACCUGUCAGUGGAGCUGAAUCUGAGAUAAAAAUUAUCAUCCUUGCAACAGCGGUUAUCCUGGGUUUGUACAUCCCUGUGGUGCUUGUGGCCUUUGCCCUGAUGACCAUGCUGCUAGCAGCUUACACCAAAGACACAGCAACACUCAGGUUCAGCAUGGCCUGCCAGGCUGCAUCAAUCCUACUGAUGCUGGCUGGCAUUAUAGUUUUUCUGAUACUCUAUGAGUCGUAUCUGAACUUGGAACACAUGACAAUUUGGUUCUAUGUUUGUGUGGGUGUGCCAUUUCAGCUGUUCAUCAUAACUGUGCUGACCGCCCGUGUCAGGGGAGAGGCUCACUGGGAGUAGAUGGGUCAAAGUGCUUGAUGAAGGUAUUAUCAAAACAGUGUUAUUGUUUUUUUUACAAUUCAAAUUACAUUAUUAUGUUAAAUGUCCUCUGUUAUGUUUUCACUAAAUAGUGACCAAAUCUUUUCUUUCGGGCAUUUGCUGCUGAAAACCAAGAGUUUUAUGACAGAGUUUAUGACAAACCUGUUUUUUGUUUUUCUUAAAUAGACUGGAGCAUACUGUAAUGCAUACUGUAGUACUGUAACAGUGUUUUUGAAUUCUACACAAACUGGUUUGUGUAAAUGACAGCCAAGACAAGUGUGUAAAU